CGUGGAAGUCUGAAGGGUGUAUGGUGGAUGCCUAGACUUCGUAGAGCGAUGAAGGACGCAGCAGUCUGCGAAAAGUUCCGGGGAGGUGACGAGCAACCGUUAUAUCCGGAAAUUUCCGAAUGGGGAAACCCCGCCGAGCAAUCGGUGAUCAUUGGCGCGUGCCGAUGAAGCAAACUCAGGGAAGUGAAACAUCUCAGUACCUGAAGGAAAAGAAACCAACAGGACAUCUCGGUCUCUGACCCAAUACUCUUUGGGGCAGGGACCGGGAUUCUGGUAUUCCCUUAGUAGCGGCGAGCGAAACGGGAGAAGCCCAAACCGCUUUGAGCAAUCGAAGCGGGGUUGUAAGGCGACGGCAUUCCAUUUAUGGAAGAGAAGUUACAAACGUGGUUCAUAGAAGAACGCGCUGGGAAGCGCGGCCCUAGAGGGUAAUAGCCCCGUAUUUGAAAUGAAACACGCUUCUUUGUCGUCGAUCUUGAGUAAUCCGAGACACGAAUAGCUUGGAUGAAUCUGCCGGUACUAACCGGCAAGGCUAAAUAUCUACGAAGAUCGAUAGUGAACCAGUACCGUGAGGGAAAGGUGAAAAGCAGCCCGGUGAGGGCGGUGAAAUAGUUCUGAAACCAUACAUCUACAAAGAGUCGAAGAGGACUUGUUCCUCGACGGCGUGCCUAUUGAAGAAUGAGCCGGCGAGUUUAUCCGUUUCCUUUGUCUAAGAGGUGCAUCCUCGGAGGCGAAGCGAAAGCGAGUCUGAACAGGGCGUUCAGGGAACGGAUAAGACCCGAAGCCAGAUGAGCUUGCCAUGAGCAGGGUGAACCACUCCGAAAGGAGUGGGGAGGCCCGAACCCGUUGGUCGUACAACGCCUUGGGAUGACUUGUGGUAAGGAGUGAAAAGCUUAUCGAAUCUGGUAAUAGCUGGUUCUCUCCGAAACAGCUUUUGGGCUGGCGUCUCGUGUAUCGUCCGGGGGUAGAGCACUGGAAGGGUCAAAUAGGGAGCAAUCUCGUUGACCCUAUCAAACUCCGAAUACCGGAAUGUUUUGCGAGGCAGUUAGACUAUGGGCGCUAAGGUCCAUUGGUCGAGAAGGGAAGAGCCUAGAUCUCAAGUUAAGGUCCCUAAAUCUACGUUGAGUGCAACUCAAGGAAGUUGGAAUUCUAUGACAGUGAGGAUGUUGGCUUAGAAGCAGCCACCAUUCAAAGAAAGCGUAACAGCUCACUCAUCGAGAAUUCCUGCGCCGAAGAUAAUCGGGGCUAAACGUAGUACCGAAACUGAGGGAUCGUUUCUCCUUCGGGAGAAGCGAUCGGUAGGAGAGCGUUCCGUACCGCGAUGAAGGGUAAGGGGUGACCCAUCCUGGAGCGUACGGAAGUGAAAAUGCCGGCACAAGUAACCACAAGGCAGGUGAGAUCCCUGCCCGCCGAAAGACCGAGGUUUCCUUGGCACUGAUGAUCAGCCAAGGGUUAGUCGGGCCUAAGGGAAUGGCGAAAGCCGCACCCGAUGGACACACGGUUAAUAUUCCGUGACCUUUCGUCAAUGCGAUGGAGUGACGGAGCGCUGUAUCUCGUGCCCACAAUUGGAUGUGGGUUUGUGCCGUGAGGGCGAUGUCUAGGAAAAUCCGGACGUCAUUACCCCGAGCGGAACAGAAACGUCCUGGUUCGCCAGGAUGGAUGCGAGAGAGCGCGCUUCCCAGAAAAGCUUCUAAGCUUCAAUUGACGAAAGUCCGUACCGCAAACCGACACAGGUGGUCUGGUCGAGUAGACCAAGGCGAACGAGUGAGAGGUCCUCAAGGAACUCGGCAAAAUAGCGGCCGUAACUUUGGGAUAAGGCCUGCCCUAUCUCUUCGGAGGUGGGGCCGCAGCGAAAGAUUCCCAACCGACUGUUUACCAAAAACACAGCUCCCUGCGAACUCGCAAGAGGAUGUAUAGGGGGUGACACCUGACCAAUGCCCGAAGGUCAAGUAUGGGUGGUGUACGAACUUCGGUUUGUAUGCUGGCUUAUAUAAGCCCGGGUCAAUGUCGGCGAUAACUAUAAUCGUCCUAAGGUAGCGUAAUUCCUUGUCUGGUAAGUUCAGACGUGCACGAAUGGUGUAACGAGUUGGGAACUGUCUCGAGGACUUGCUCGGUGAAAAUACAAUACCGGUGAAGAUGCCGGUUACUCAUAGUUAGACGAAAAGACCCCAGAAGCUUUACUGUAGCUUCGUAUUGGGAUUGCG
rnacentral:rRNA from 1 species